rnacentral:rRNA from 1 species
CAGCCGCCGCGGUAAUACGGAGGGUGCAAGCGUUGUCCGGAAUUAUUGGGCGUAAAGAGCUCGUAGGCGGUCUGUCGCGUCUGGUGUGAAAUCCCGAGGCUCAACCUCGGGCUUGCAUCGGGUACGGGCAGACUAGAGUGCGGUAGGGGAGACUGGAAUUCCUGGUGUAGCGGUGGAAUGCGCAGAUAUCAGGAGGAACACCGAUGGCGAAGGCAGGUCUCUGGGCCGCAACUGACGCUGAGGAGCGAAAGCAUGGGGAGCGAACAGGAUUAGAUACCCGAGUAGUCCCUGUCUCUUAUAC